rnacentral:lncRNA from 1 species
CUAUCCCUGGAGAAGGAAGGCUAUAGUAUGGAUAACAUGCAAAGCACUUUCACAGAUGUUAAAAGCAAUGGCGUUGAUGAAUCUUUGGUUCAAAGAAAUAGCGAUGUCAGCUUGAAGGAUGACAGCCUUCGAAGCCUUGCAGAAAGUGAUUUAGACAAGAAGUACAUGACCCGAGUGGAUGUGAUCCUGGAAGAUGACCAUCCCAAGAUGGUCAGGUUUGACAGUUUCAGCAGGAAGAAGGCCCAAAAAACUCCCAAGAUCCUUUCAACCAAAGGGAGGCCUAAAGCUUUACUUGGUUGCUGUGGUAAUGGCCCCUGGGAGAAUUAUGGGAUUCCAGUUAAGCCAACUUCACCCUUCCAGGGUCCCCCAGACACCAGCAUGCUGCAUGUGCCUCCCAAUCAAAGCUUGUUAGCCUGGAGAGCCAGGAGGAGCGGCUCCUUAGGGGACACUGCUUUUGAAGGUGAAGAAGCUGCCCAGAACCUCACACUCAGUGACAUCUAUGCAGAAAUGUUAUGUUCACUGAGUAAAUGUCUCCCUUCUCAGAAGAUGGGCCUCGUUUCCACCAAUAAAUAUACUUCCAAAGGCUGGUUCCCAAAGAAGAGGAGGCUUAAUAUCACUUUGACCAUGGAAAGUAGUUUUCUCAAGAUUAGUCAAAAAUUCCAGAUUAUCCCAGGUGAGAAAAAUAGCUUAAUUUGCAGAAAGGAUUAUAAGCAGAACUUUUUACCCUGUAUUGAACCAGACACCAUCGUCAACAACAGUGAAUUGUUAACCACCAGUUCUUCCCCGCUGGCGCUGAAGGUGACACUGCAUAACCGCUCCACUCAGGACUCUCCUUCCAGGCCCAGGGACAUGAGACAAGUAAGCCCCAGCUCCUUACAGAGCCAUAUGGGGUCCCGGUCCCCAGCGACACCCAGAUUGUGUCUGCCCCCUGCUCCAAGUGCAAAGGAGAGGUUCCGCCCUUUGCAGCAGGGUGUUCCUGGAAGAGAUGUGUUGGGGCAGGAAAGGUGUCUGUCCAGAUCACUGGUGAUGCCAAGGAUGCUCCAGACCCCCAAGAAUUCUCCUCUGUCCCAUGAAAGGCUUUCUCAGGAGCACUCAGCUUCUGAUACCUCUGAAACGGGCCCAAAGACUGGCGUUCCUAGAAAGGUUACGAAGGCAAGAAAGUCCUUGCCUUUUUGCAUGGAGAAGAUACCCUGCAAAGCCCGAGAUGUGAUAGACUCCAUGUUUGACACAUACUCCCAAGAAACAACUCAGUGGGCACGGGAGCUUUUAUUCCUUAAGAAAUCAGGGCAGAAGUCAAAAGUGCUAAGUCAGAGCAAAUUCGGGGAUUCUGUGGAAGGUUUAGGCCCCUGGGAUGGUCCCCAGGAGCCACAGAAGGCAGCCUCCCCCCGGGUCGUUGCCAGGUACUCCCUGUAUGAAACAGUCAACAUGCUUCAUUGCCCAGCCUUGCCCAGGGCCAUCUCAAAAGGAGAUUUUUCCUCCCCAACAAAAAGACGCAAAGUGUCAAGCUCCCAGACAUGGGAUCACUUCAGCCCUUCAAAGAUGAGAGAUAAGGCGUAGGUAUUCUUAACAGUAAUCUUUGUUGUUGCCAUAAACAGUACUUAAGGAGAGAAGUGGUCCCAAAGUAUCUGGGUCUUUAUGGGGACAUAAUACAUUAAAAUAAAAAACAAAUUAAUGACUUUAAAAGCA